rnacentral:rRNA from 1 species
UGGUGGAGUGAUUUGUCUGGUUAAUUCCGUUAACGAACGAGACCUCGACCUGCUAAAUAGUUCGGGAAUUCUUCGGGAUUCCUACGUGACUUCUUAGAGGGACUAUCGGUGUGUAGCCGAUGGAAGUUCGAGGCAAUAACA